CUUUUUAUAUCAUUUUAGGGAUAAUCAGGAUUCUUGAAAGCAUGACAACCAUGAUGCAGACAAUUUUAUCUUAUGUAGAUGGUCAUGCCAAAAUGGCAGACAUUGUAACGUCUGUUCAAGAAUUCGUAAAAGCUAUGGAGUCUUUCAUUAAUAUUAAAGCAAUAAUUAAUGAAGUACCGUUUGUAGGACCUACAGUAUCAUGGAUUAUUACCCCAAUUUUAAGUUUGAUUUCAUCUCUUGUCAAAGAAACUCCGGUAUUUGGAGAAUUAUUAUCACAGAUGCUUAUCGGUCCAGAAUCUGGAUAAAUCGAUCAUGUCUCUCUCUUGUUAUAAUCAUACACAGACAUCCUGAUUUACAUCUAAUUAUAGUUGUUAUAUCCCGUCACUUUGCCACCAACAACCGCACCUCCACCAACAAAGUCAGGAUGGAUUUUUGGUUGAGACAAAAUAAUUUAAAAAUAUGUAAAAUCAAUUUUGGAUCUAGUACUUAAAUAUAAAUUUUAACCAGAAA
rnacentral:misc_RNA from 1 species